UUUGGUCGCCAACGAGUGGCGGACGGGUGAGUAACACGUAGGUAACCUGCCCAGAAGCGGGGGACAACAUUUGGAAACAGAUGCUAAUACCGCAUAACAGCGUUGUUCGCAUGAACAACGCUUAAAAGAUGGCUUCUCGCUAUCACUUCUGGAUGGACCUGCGGUGCAUUAGCUUGUUGGUGGGGUAACGGCCUACCAAGGCGAUGAUGCAUAGCCGAGUUGAGAGACUGAUCGGCCACAAUGGGACUGAGACACGGCCCAUACUCCUACGGGAGGCAGCAGUAGGGAAUCUUCCACAAUGGGCGCAAGCCUGAUGGAGCAACACCGCGUGAGUGAAGAAGGGUUUCGGCUCGUAAAGCUCUGUUGUUAAAGAAGAACACGUAUGAGAGUAACUGUUCAUACGUUGACGGUAUUUAACCAGAAAGUCACGGCUAACUACGUGCCAGCAGCCGCGGUAAUACGUAGGUGGCAAGCGUUAUCCGGAUUUAUUGGGCGUAAAGAGAGUGCAGGCGGUUUUCUAAGUCUGAUGUGAAAGCCUUCGGCUUAACCGGAGAAGUGCAUCGGAAACUGGAUAACUUGAGUGCAGAAGAGGGUAGUGGAACUCCAUGUGUAGCGGUGGAAUGCGUAGAUAUAUGGAAGAACACCAGUGGCGAAGGCGGCUACCUGGUCUGCAACUGACGCUGAGACUCGAAAGCAUGGGUAGCGAACAGGAUUAGAUACCCUGGUAGUCCAUGCCGUAAACGAUGAGUGCUAGGUGUUGGAGGGUUUCCGCCCUUCAGUGCCGGAGCUAACGCAUUAAGCACUCCGCCUGGGGAGUACGACCGCAAGGUUGAAACUCAAAGGAAUUGACGGGGGCCCGCACAAGCGGUGGAGCAUGUGGUUUAAUUCGAAGCUACGCGAAGAACCUUACCAGGUCUUGACAUCUUGCGCCAACCCUAGAGAUAGGGCGUUUCCUUCGGGAACGCAAUGACAGGUGGUGCAUGGUCGUCGUCAGCUCGUGUCGUGAGAUGUUGGGUUAAGUCCCGCAACGAGCGCAACCCUUGUUACUAGUUGCCAGCAUUAAGUUGGGCACUCUAGUGAGACUGCCGGUGACAAACCGGAGGAAGGUGGGGACGACGUCAGAUCAUCAUGCCCCUUAUGACCUGGGCUACACACGUGCUACAAUGGACGGUACAACGAGUCGCGAACUCGCGAGGGCAAGCAAAUCUCUUAAAACCGUUCUCAGUUCGGACUGCAGGCUGCAACUCGCCUGCACGAAGUCGGAAUCGCUAGUAAUCGCGGAUCAGCAUGCCGCGGUGAAUACGUUCCCGGGCCUUGUACACACCGCCCGUCACACCAUGAGAGUUUGUAACACCCAAAGUCGGUGGGGUAACCUUUUAGGAGCCAGCCGCCUAAGGUGG
rnacentral:rRNA from 1 species